GGGGUGAUGGCGCAGCUGGGAGCGCGUUAGACUGAAGUUCACUUCUGGUCCUGCAAUCUAAAGGUCACCGGUUCAAGCCCGGUUCACCCCA